rnacentral:rRNA from 1 species
AUUGAACGCUGGCGGCAGGCCUAACACAUGCAAGUCGGACGGUAGCACAGAGGAGCUUGCUCCUCGGGUGACGAGUGGCGGACGGGUGAGUAAUGUCUGGGGAUCUGCCCGAUAGAGGGGGAUAACCACUGGAAACGGUGGCUAAUACCGCAUAACGUCGCAAGACCAAAGAGGGGGACCUUCGGGCCUCUCACUAUCGGAUGAACCCAGAUGGGAUUAGCUAGUAGGCGGGGUAACGGCCCACCUAGGCGACGAUCCCUAGCAGGUCUGAGAGGAUGACCAGCCACACUGGAACUGAGACACGGUCCAGACUCCUACGGGAGGCAGCAGUGGGGAAUAUUGCACAAUGGGCGCAAGCCUGAUGCAGCCAUGCCGCGUGUAUGAAGAAGGCCUUCGGGUUGUAAAGUACUUUCAGCGGGGAGGAAGGCGAUGUGGUUAAUAACCGCAUUGAUUGACGUUACCCGCAGAAGAAGCACCGGCUAACUACGUGCCAGCCGCCGCCGUAA